GAGGAGUUGUGAUCCCUUGUAGGAGGAGAUGUGUUCUGGUUUGGGGUGUUUUUCUUCUUUUUGGCUGGUUUCUUCCCAUCUUUUUGGAUGUAUCCACCUGUCGUCUGUGUAGUUGCUGAUUUUCAUAUUGGGUCUCUGAGGGGAUGUUCAGGUUGUUGAUGAUGAAGUAAUUUCUGUUUCUUAGUUUUUCUUCUAACCAUCUGGCCCCUCUGCUGUAGGACUGCUGAGGUCCACUCCAGGCCCUGCUUGCCUGUGGAUCACCUGCAGUAGCUGCAGAACAGUAAGGGAUGCUACCAGUUUCUUCUUCUGCUAUCUUUGUUCCAGAAUGAUGCCUGCCAAAUGUCAGUCUGAUCAGUCUUUUGUGAGGUGACUCUUUGGAUAUAUGGGGGUCAGGGAGCUGCUUGAGAAGACAGUCUGUUCUUUAUAGGAUCUCAAGUGUUGAGCUGUGAGUUUCAUUGUUCUUUCAGAGCUGCUAGGCAGUACGUUUAAGUCUGCUGCAGCAGAACUCAUAAACCGCCUUUUUUUUCCCCAGGUCCUCUGUCCUGGGGAGUUAGGGUUUUAUUUAUGAGCGUCCAUUGUGCUGCUGCCUUUUAUUUUUUCCAUGGCUGCCCUGCCCAGCAAGGAGGCAGCCUAGUCACUGUCUGCCUGCAGAGGCUUUGCUGAGCUCCACCUUGCUGCCGUUGAGCUCCCCUGUAGUCCUGUUUAUAUGGGUGUGGUUAGAACUGCCUAGGCAAUGGUGGUCUGCCUCUGGAAUGGCAGACUCUCUCUGUUAUGGCAGGUUGCCUUGGCAAUGGCAUGCCUCAGCAAUGGCGGACUACCUCCGUAGGGUGAGUGCCUCGGUAAUGGGCGAUGAUCAUCCCCCACCAAGCUGCACUGUCCUGGGUUCAGCUAUGCUUGCCGUGAAACUCUCAACCCCCAGCGUUUCCAACUGCUGUUUUUUUGUUUGUUUGUUUUUGUGGGGUUGGGACCCACCAAGCCUGAUCACCUAGGUCCCUGCCUCAGAGCUUUUUUUUUUUUUUUUAAGUUGAACAGUUGACUCUCUCCUAGUUGUUCCAGUCGCCUGCUGAAAGGGUGCUGGGAUCUGUGUGAUUUCCCGUGCAGAGACCCACUGUGCUGGCUGAAACAAAGGUGCUGCCUGGGAAUCUCCUGGCCAGCUUAAAAGGGCAACCAGACCAGUGUAUUUUGUACGAAGAGCUGCCGCACUGGCACGCCAGCAAAACAGCAGCUCUGGUGACCCGCAGGGCUUCUCCGCCUAGCAAUCUCCAGGUCUUUGGGCAAUAAAGAUCUGUCUGGAAAUGCAGCAUCCACUCACCUUCUGUGCUUCCACUGGGAUCUGCAAUCCUGAGCUGCUCCUAAAAGGAGAAUUUGAAGAGUUAACAAAAGAUGUAUAUCCUUAAUUCCUAUGGGGUAUACCUUCAUUCCUUCAUACUUGCAGAGAGGAGACCACACAAAAAAGAGACAUCUGCUUCCCUCCCUACAGUUUGCAGAAGAGGAGACCAAGGUAUGGAGAGCUUGAGCACAACGAUGGCAGUAGUGAGGAUUAUACUUUGAAGCAUCGAUCAAGACUAACAUGUACCAUGUAAAACAUGACGUUGUGCUCCAAAAUCCUGAACUGAUGAUAUAUUAAAU